rnacentral:rRNA from 1 species
AGUGAACGCUGGCGGUAGGCCUAACACAUGCAAGUCGAACGGCAGCACAGUAAGAGCUUGCUCUUACGGGUGGCGAGUGGCGGACGGGUGAGGAAUACAUCGGAAUCUACUUUUUCGUGGGGGAUAACGUAGGGAAACUUACGCUAAUACCGCAUACGACCUACGGGUGAAAGUAGGGGAUCUUCGGACCUUGCGUGAUUGAAUGAGCCGAUGUCGGAUUAGCUAGUUGGCGGGGUAAAGGCCCACCAAGGCGACGAUCCGUAGCUGGUCUGAGAGGAUGAUCAGCCACACUGGAACUGAGACACGGUCCAGACUCCUACGGGAGGCAGCAGUGGGGAAUAUUGGACAAUGGGCGCAAGCCUGAUCCAGCCAUACCGCGUGGGUGAAGAAGGCCUUCGGGUUGUAAAGCCCUUUUGUUGGGAAAGAAAAGCAGCAGGUUAAUACCCCGCUGUUCUGACGGUACCCAAAGAAUAAGCACCGGCUAACUUCGUG